rnacentral:rRNA from 1 species
GACGAACGCUGGCGGCGUGCUUAACACAUGCCAGUCGAACGGAAAGGCCCUGCUUUUGUGGGGUGCUCGAGUGGCGAACGGGUGAGUAGCACGUGAGUAACCUGCCCUUGACUUUGGUAUAACUUCAGGAAACUGGGGCUAAUACCGGAUAGGAGCUCCUGCUGCAUGGUGGUGGUUGGAAAGUUUCGGCGGUUGGGGAUGGACUCGCGGCUUAUCAGCUUGUUGGGGGGGUAGGGGCUUACCAAGGGUUUGACGGGUAGCCGGCCUGAGAGGGUGACCGGCGACAUUGGGACUGAGAUACGGCGCAGACUCGUACGGGAGGCAGCAGGGGGGAAUAUUGCAGAAUGGGCGGAAGCCUGUUGCAGCAGCGCCGCGUGCGGGAUGACGGCCUUCGGGUUGUAAACCGCUUUCGACUGUGACGAAGCGUGAGUGACGGUAAUGGGUAAAGAAGCACCGGCUAACUACGUG